ACAGUGUCUCGGUUCUGCCGCUGCUACGCAUUGGUGUAGGAGAGGAAAGUCCGGGCAGCACAGGGAACCCCACUUCCGAAAGUAGAAGCUGUCGGCGACGGCAGGUGUCGGUAGAAGAAAACAACCGCCACGCCUUGUGUGUGGUAAGGGUGAGAAGGUGGUGUAAGAGACCACCAGCCGGUGGGCGACCAUCGGGCUGUACCAUCUGGGGGCUGCAAGUUCAUGUAUACCAUCGUUUGAGGGCGUCCCGUCCGACCGUAGUGACGAUGGAGGGUAGAAUGCUGGAGGUGCAGGGCGACUUGCACAGUAGAUAAAUGGCAGAAGGCUUACGUCUUAGUAAUGAGGCGCGAGAAACAGAACCCGGCUUACAGAGACACUGUUUCC
rnacentral:RNase_P_RNA from 1 species